GUACCCUAUUUGUAAUUUAGAUCACUUUCAAAAUGAUCCUCACGAGCGGGCAAAUACGGGGCGGGCAAUAUCAUGAUCAUGACAGAUCAACAGACGUCAUAUCGACUUGUCACAACAUACCGAUGCGUGUUAAUAUGUUUAUUUUUUAGUUGAUUAUGUUGAAAACUUGCGAUCAUUCGACUCAUUUUACGACCACGGAUUUAGGCAGCAUUGCAUCGAUAUGUUAAGGUUGACGAUCGUCGCACAAAUUUGGGGAUGGAAGGUUGCUGCUAAAUGUCAUCUUUCUGAAGUAAAAGAGACAUGCAGCGAACCGUAUAAUGAUCCCAGAACACCAUAUUAAAAAACCUUUGCAGCGAAAGAUAAAAUAGAGCUGGCCAAUGCUCGGUGGGCAAUCCCCCCGCGAACACACCGCAUAACGAAGCACCAUGGAAGAGCCACAACGGGUUUCCUCUUCCAUCGUCGGCGGUUGCCUGUGCCGCUACGGAUUUCCAGAUUAAUUGUUGAGGUUCAUUACUGAUACGGGUGACCUGAUUCAGAUGGGUUCGUCCAUUCUCCUCUGCUCCCAUGGAUACACCAUUGCACCAGGAAUGCCGUCCGAAUAACCAAUCCAACUAAAUCAAGCCUCUCCGCGAUCAAUAAAUGAAAUUGAAGAAUUAAAAAGAACUAACAGACAAAUUGAAUAAAUAAAGAAAAAGGUUUACGAAACAAGUAUAUCACAGUGUCUUCCAUAUUCCUAAAUCACAGAUCCAAUUUUCAGCCGUUUUUAAUAUUUCGAAUUUGAAAAAUAGUUUUAUAAUUUCUUUCUGACUUUAGCAUAUUUGAAUUUUUCUAAUAGAGGAUUUAAACGAGCAUCUACUAGACACUCAACAAUUCGCAUCAUAUUUUCUUCCAACCUGUCGUCUUUGGUUCUAUAUCCGGAUGUACUAGAAUCGUAAUCCGCUUUACGAUUGUUCGGAGGGUUAUGUUUCCAGUAACAUCCGUCUAUUUCAGAUCCAGAUUCAGAACCGGGUUGGCGAAGUUUUGAUGAUGUUCCGAUUGAUGUUAAGGAUUGAGAACAGGAAUCGGGACUUGAAUUUAUCGUACUAGAAUCAUAAUUUGAAAACACUGAUUUGGGCUCAUCAUUUAAUGGUUCAUGUUGACGGUACUCGCAAGUACCAAUGAUCGGUAAGUAUCUCGUCUCUGCAUCCUUCAACAAGAUCUGAAGACCGUGCUGCAAAGCGUGCAUGAGCUUCCGAGUACUUACCAAAUCCUUCGGCGCUAGCUUUCCCUGAGCAUUCAGGUUACUCCAUGAAGUCAGCGAUGUUUGCAAAUCUGCGGCUAGCCUCUCAACUGGAUAAUUAGGAUGUGAUGAGCUAACCGGACACGGCAUCUCCGUUAACCCAUCGCAAUCAGAAUCGUCAGCGUCGUAGUCCACGGAUUGAAACACCACUGGCUCAUAUUUCACUUUGAAUCUCUUUCGCUUAACCAUGUUUGUUUUGAUUAAGCGGACUGGCUAGUAGUGACAGCUUUUAUAUGCUACAAAGAAAACAGGUGUGGGUUAAAAGUGUUGCCAUGAAAUUUGAUUUAAAAAA